GAUGAACGCUGGCGGCGUGCCUAAUACAUGCAAGUCGAGCGAACAGACGAGGAGCUUGCUCCUCUGACGUUAGCGGCGGACGGGUGAGCAACACGUGGAUAACCUACCUAUAAGACUGGGAUAACUUCGGGAAACCGGAGCUAAUACCGGAUAAUAUAUUUAACCGCAUGGUUCAAUAGUGAAAGACGGUUUUGCUGUCACUUAUAGAUGGAUCCGCGCCGCAUUAGCUAGUUGGUAAGGUAACGGCUUACCAAGGCAACGAUGCGUAGCCGACCUGAGAGGGUGAUCGGCCACACUGGAACUGAGACCCGGUCCAGACUCCUACGGGAGGCAGCAGUAGGGAAUCUUCCGCAAUGGGCGAAAGCCUGACGGAGCAACGCCGCGUGAGUGAUGAAGGUCUUCGGAUCGUAAAACUCUGUUAUUAGGGAAGAACAAAUGUGUAAGUAACUAUGCACGUCUUGACGGUACCUAAUCAGAAAGCCACGGCUAACUACGUG
rnacentral:rRNA from 1 species